rnacentral:rRNA from 1 species
GACAUUUGGUAGAGACUGUUGAAGCCACCUGGUCCCAGCAGACCCCAGAAGGCAGCCACAUUCACUGGUGCUGGGGCAAGGUCAUUAAGGGUGAAGCCUGGUGCCAGAUGUGU